GAUGAAGAACGUAGCGAAAUGCGAUACUUGGUGUGAAUUGCAGAAUCCCGUGAACCAUCGAGUCUUUGAACGCAAGUUGCGCCCGAAGCCAUCAGGUUGAGGGCACGUCUGCCUGGGCGUCACAUAUCGUUGCCCAAUGCCUAUUGCAGUGCAAUAGGAAUUUCUAGGGCGAAUGAUGGCUUCCCGUGAGCGUUGUUGCCUCGCGGUUGGUUGAAAAUCGAGACCUUGGUAGGGUGUGCCAUGGUAGAUGGUGGUCGAGUUAGAACGAUACCGAUCAUGUGCAUGCUCCCCAAAAUAUGGCCUCUAUGACCCACACGCGUCUUUUGACGCUCAUGACGAGACCUCAGGUCAGGCGGGGCUACCCGCUGAAUUUAAGCAUAUCAAUAAGCGGAGGA
rnacentral:misc_RNA from 1 species